rnacentral:rRNA from 1 species
UACUCCUACGGGAGGCAGCAGUGGGGAAUAUUGCACAAUGGGCGCAAGCCUGAUGCAGCAACGCCGCGUGAACGAUGAAGGUCCUUUCGGAUCGUAAAGUUCUGUUGCAGGGGAAGAUAAUGACGGUACUCUGUGAGGAAGCUUUCGGCUAACUACGUGCCAGCACCGCGGUAAUACAG